rnacentral:lncRNA from 1 species
UUAUUAAUCAAUAAACUGUUGAAUCAUAAGGAUUAAUUAGUGAAAGAGUAAUUGUUCUUGAGUCAUUUUUACCAUGUCACGUCGUUUAGUACCUUUAUCAGCGGCGUGCGCAAGUGUGAGAGGAAAAGUAAGCCCACCCAAAGAAAAGAACUAGAAGAGCAAUACGGGCAGCUCUGAUGAAUUGGCAGCCUUCAUUUGUCGUGCGUUAAACAACUGAAAUCCAACUGAUUAUUUGUAUCAAAAUAUCUACCUCAGUCACGAUCGAAAUGUCUUAUUGCUCCAGGUUUAAUUGCAAAUAUAAAUCGGAUGAUAAAUUUUUUUGUGGAAAUUUAAGUUUUCACGGUAAGGAUGAGUCCCUAAAAAGAUAAUUUCAUCAUUAAUUAGCCUUAUAAACUUAUAUUAGUAAAUUAUUCAUCUCAUAUAUUAACUAUGAAAAGGAGGGUUUUGAAACUGCUUGACUCUAGAUGGCACCAUAGUGCUUAUUUCUGGAAACUUUACCUAAUAUUUUCUCUUCAUUUCGGGAAGCUGUGUUCAGUUAUAUCACUAAAUUUGCUAUCCUAAAAUUGCAAAGACGUCUUUGUUGCAUCUCUAAAAAAUCAGCAUUGAUAGAUUCAUCCAAAGUUGAUCACAGCAAUUUAGUAUUGAUUGAAAGGAAAGAUUUUAGAGGCCUGAUAUACUCAUCACAAGAUGCAAUUCCUGUGUGCCAAGAAACUGAAAGAGUAUAUGUUCAAUUGAUUUUAAUGGACAAAACUUCUCUUUUUAAUACAAAAAUAAUUCAUCUUUUAAUUACCAGUCAUGUAUUAAAGAGAAAGAUAAUGAAAAACAUAAUCAGGUUUUUAAUGCACUUCCAUCGAACAAUUACAGUUCUGUUCGGAUCAAGGAGUUGGCUUCAACUUAUUCCAGGAUACAACUUUUCAUCAAGGUAGAGUCGAUAAUCUAAAAUGGCACUCGGAAUAUGUGAGGGAGACAAAUUGCAAGGUAUUUGUAUUCCAAGGACAAUAAUUAUUGCAAUUCUAUUAAACACAUUAAAAACUUAAAUUUUAUUUGUGUAAAAUAAAAAUUAUUAUAAAUUAAAAGCAGUAAAUAUAAAA